GCCAGUGUAUUGUAGUGGUUUGACCAUAAGACUAGGACUCUAGAGAUCAGGGGUUCGAAUCCCCACUCAUUCA